UACAGAGGGGGGCAAGCGUUAUUCGGAAUUAUUGGGCGUAAAGGGCGCGUAGGCGGCUUUUCAAGUGACGGGUGAAAUCCCUCGGCUUAACCGAGGAACUGCCUGUCAGACUGGAAGGCUUGAGACCGGGAGAGGUGAGUGGAAUUCCCAGUGUAGCGGUGAAAUGCGUAGAUAUUGGGAGGAACACCAGUGGCGAAGGCGGCUCACUGGACCGGAACUGACGCUGAGGCGCGAAAGCGUGGGGAGCAAACGGG
rnacentral:rRNA from 1 species